rnacentral:rRNA from 1 species
GUUGACCUCGAAUCAGGUAGGAAUACCCGCUGAACUUAAGCAUAUCAAUAAG